GCCCAGGUGGUGGAAUAGGUAGACACGCAGGACUUAAAAUCCUGUUACCUCGGUAGUGCGGGUUCGAUUCCCGCCCUGGGCACCA
rnacentral:tRNA from 1 species